GGAUGUGAGGCUGAUCUGACUGCAACAUCUGUCACUCCAUUGAUCACCGGGGUUGAUUCGGCUAAUCUGGCCAGUUAGUCAGCGCUCCCUGGGCAUGCCUCCCGAAGCUGCACUCGGUGGAUGAGGACGACCUUCCCUGAUGAAGGACAGUUGUUCUUCAGUCAAAGGUGUAUGAGUAGCUGUGGUCCCCUGCUAAAACCUCCAAACACGCUCUCAAGGUCUAUUUGUAUGAAAACAUAGGGUCGUCAAGCAUCCAAGACUCCAGACACAUCCAAAUGAUGCACUGCAUGUGGCAGUCUGCCUCUCCUC
ensembl:misc_RNA 7SK 7SK RNA